GGAAGUAGCGUGGAAACAACCAAAGAGAGAGUAAUUUCGGGAGAUUAUGGCAGAGCGAGACGGAAGGGGAGAGUUCAGGAUGGAGCUCACCCGAAGAUGAGGAAGAGAGGAAGGACCGAAAUGAGGAAGGGAGCAAGAGUGUUCUAUGCGAAAGAGAAAGAAGUAUCGAGGGAAAGGAAAUUGAGCACAGAGAGAGAGAGAGAGAGAGAGAGAGAGAGAGAGAGAGAGGGAGUGAGCGAGCGAGCUGAAGGAGAGAGCGAAAGGGAGUGAGGAACAGAGAGCCCGGAAUAGAGCACAUUCAAGGAUGAAGAAGAAAAAGAGGAUAGAAAAAAGGGGCAAGCAAAACAGAGCAAACGGAAGUAUCGGAGCUGGAAGUAGAAGGGCAUCAAAUGGGCAAAUGCUUAGCGGCAUCGAAUUAGAUUACAGGCUAGCUUAGUCAUUGGACCGUUGAUCCGGCGGGAUAUAAAUUGGACGCUAGAUCGCUGAUCCGGCGGGAUAUAAAAAGGACACUAGACCGCUGACCCGGCGGGGUAUAAAUUGGACGCUAGACCGCUGACCCAACGGAAUAUAAAUUGGACUUUAGACCGCUGAUCCGACAAGAUAUAAGACGGACGCUAGUUAGAGUUUGAUGAUGGGUGGCCCCCGCGUAUGAGAGGCGAUAUUGGAAUUAUGGAGGCGUGGAUUGAAUUAUGUGAGGUUACAGUACCGUCAAAACUCAGUCUAAGGAAAUAUAAUCCUAUGAUUACGUUGUUUGAUUGUGUUAUGUAUUGUCUCUCUGAAAUUAUUUGAUAUUGAAAAGCAUAUUUUUAUGGUAUGAAUUUGAUUGGAUAUCUUGUCUAAUGUUCAAGUGGUAUUGGAUAUUAGUGAAAUGGUUGGAAGAGUUGUGUGUAUUUGCUAAUGGAACUUUUGUUGGGUUAGUAUAUUGGAUAUGACUAAUAUGUAUCAAUGUAUAUAUAUAUAUAUAUACCUGGUGAUAUGGAGGAA